UGCUAGCAGAACUGGCAUUAUCCGU
rnacentral:misc_RNA from 1 species